AUGGUCACUGCUAAGCGCUUUUGGUCCCAAAUCUUCGGUGUUGCUUUUUCCAAUAAACGUUGGUUACAUUUCUUUAUCCUAUUGGUACCCGUCACCGGUUUAUGGAUGAGUGCUAUUGGCAUAGUUGGCUUGGCUCUGAACUUACGUGCCUAUGACUUUGUUUCCCAGGAAAUCCGUGCAGCGGAAGAUCCUGAAUUUGAGACUUUCUACACCAAAAAUAUUCUUUUAAACAUAGUUUUUAUAAAAAAAACUUGGGCCUCUUUGAUUCGUAGGAUUUCCAAAACGCGGGAAUAG
rnacentral:rRNA from 1 species